rnacentral:rRNA from 1 species
AGUGAACGCUGGCGGUAGGCCUAACACAUGCAAGUCGAACGGCAGCACAGUAAGAGCUUGCUCUUACGGGUGGCGAGUGGCGGACGGGUGAGGAAUACAUCGGAAUCUACUUUUUCGUGGGGGAUAACGUAGGGAAACUUACGCUAAUACCGCAUACGACCUACGGGUGAAAGCAGGGGAUCUUCGGACCUUGCGCGAUUGAAUGAGCCGAUGUCGGAUUAGCUAGUUGGCGGGGUAAAGGCCCACCAAGGCGACGAUCCGUAGCUGGUCUGAGAGGAUGAUCAGCCACACUGGAACUGAGACACGGUCCAGACUCCUACGGGAGGCAGCAGUGGGGAAUAUUGGACAAUGGGCGCAAGCCUGAUCCAGCCAUACCGCGUGGGUGAAGAAGGCCUUCGGGUUGUAAAGCCCUCUUGUUGGGAAAGAAAAGCAGCAGGUUAAUACCCCGCUGUUCUGACGGUACCCAAAGAAUAAGCAUCGGCUAACUUCGUG